rnacentral:rRNA from 1 species
ACGAACGCUGGCGGCGUGCUUAACACCUGCAAGUCGAACGGAAAGGCCUGCUUUCCCUUGUGGAUUGCGGGUACUCGAGUGGCGAACGGGUGAGUAACACGUGAGUGAUCUGCCCCCAACUUGGGUAUAAGCCUGGGAAACUGGGUCUAAUUCCCGAUAGGACUGCAGGGUGGUGCCUGUGGUGGAAAACGAUUUUCUAGUGGUUGGGGAUGAGCUCGCGGCCUAUCAGCUUGUUGGUGGGGUAAUGGCCUACCAAGGCGGCGACGGGUAGCCGGCCUGAGGGGGUGGACGGCCACAUUGGGACUGAGAUACGGCCCAGACUCCUACGGGAGGCAGCAGUGGGGAAUAUUGCACAAUGGGCGGAAGCCUGAUGCAGCGACGCCGCGUGGGGGAUGACGGCCUUCGGGUUGUAAGCUCCUUUCGACCGCGAGGAAGCCACCUGGUUGGAAGGGUGGUGACGGUAGUGGUAGAAGAAGCACCGGCUAACUACGUG